rnacentral:rRNA from 1 species
UACGUAGGGUGCAAGCGUUAUCCGGAAUCAUUGGGCGUAAAGAGCGUGUAGGCGGCCCGGUAAGUCCGCUGUGAAAGUCCAGGGCUCAACCCUGGGAUGCCGGUGGAUACUGUCGGGCUCGAGUCCGGAAGAGGAGUGUGGAAUUCCUGGUGUAGCGGUGAAAUGCGCAGAUAUCAGGAGGAACACCAAUGGCGAAGGCAGCACUCUGGGACGUGACUGACGCUGAGACGCGAAAGCGUGGGGAGCAAACAGG